rnacentral:rRNA from 1 species
UCCUUCGGGAGCACCGGCGGACUGCUCAGUAACACGUGGACAACCUACCCUCGGGUGGGGGAUAACCUCGGGAAACUGAGGCUAAUACCCCAUAGGCCUCGGAUACUGGAAGGUUCCGAGACCGAAAGCUCCGGCGCCCGAGGAUGGGUCUGCGGCCUAUCAGGUAGUUGGUGGUGUAAAGGACCACCAAGCCUACGACGGGUACGGGCCCUGAGAGGGGGAGCCCGGAGAUGGACUCUGAGACACGAGUCCAGGCCCUACGGGGCGCAGCAGGCGCGAAACCUUCGCAAUGCGCGAAAGCGCGACGAGGGGAGCCCGAGUGCCCUUCCUUUCGGGAGGGCUUUUCUGGAGCCUAAAAAGCUCCAGGAAUAAGGGCU